CAGGGAAUCUUGCACAAUGGGCGAAAGCCUGAUGCAGCGACGCCGCGUGGGGGAUGAAGGCCUUAGGGUCGUAAACCCCUUUCAGCAGGGACGAAAAUGACGGUACCUGCAGAAGAAGCCCCGGCCAACUACGUGCCAGCAGCCGCGGUAAGACGUAGGGGGCGAGCGUUGUCCGGAUUUAUUGGGCGUAAAGAGCUCGUAGGCGGUUGCGUAAGUCGGAUGUGAAAACUCAGGGCUCAACCCUGAGACGCCAUCCGAUACUGCGCUGACUUGAAUCCAGUAGGGGAGUGUGGAAUUCCUGGUGUAGCGGUGAAAUGCGCAGAUAUCAGGAGGAACACCCAUGGCGAAGGCAGCACUCUGGGCUGGUAUUGACGCUGAGGAGCGAAAGCAUGGGUAGCGAACAGGAUUAGAUACCCCAGUAGUCCCUG
rnacentral:rRNA from 1 species